rnacentral:rRNA from 1 species
GAUGAACGCUGGCGGCGUGCUUAACACAUGCAAGUCGAACGGAAAGGCCCAAGCUUGCUUGGGUACUCGAGUGGCGAACGGGUGAGUAACACGUGGGUGAUCUGCCCUGCACUUCGGGAUAAGCCUGGGAAACUGGGUCUAAUACCGGAUAGGACCACUUCUUGGAUGUUGUGGUGGAAAGUUUUUUCGGUGUGGGAUGAGCUCGCGGCCUAUCAGCUUGUUGGUGGGGUAAUGGCCUACCAAGGCGUCGACGGGUAGCCGGCCUGAGAGGGUGUACGGCCACAUUGGGACUUAGAUACGGCCCCGACUCCUAAGGGAGGCAGAAGGGGGGAAUAUUGCACAAUGGGCGCAAGCCUGAUGCAGCGACGCCGCGUGGGGGAUGACGGCCUUCGGGUUGUAAACUCCUUUCGCUAGGGACGAAGCGUUUUGUGACGGUACCUGGAGAAGAAGCACCGGCUAACUACGUG